AGGAAGUUGUUGGAAUGGAAGGGUAGGAAAGAAGAAACUUCUCUUGUAUGUUCCAAAUUCAAGAGAUAAAAUUUCUUUCCUAUCCCUCCCAUUCCUUCKAUUUUCU
rnacentral:pre_miRNA from 1 species